AUACAUUUUCACUAAAAAAAAAAAAAAAAAAAAAAAAAAAAAAAAAAAAAAAAAGUCUGUUCUUAUCAGUUUAAUAUCUGAUACGCCUUCCAUAGUGUUGGCUCAUAUAUUAAUCUGAUUUUUGGCUUCGGGUCAAGGGAGCGAGGUUUACCUCACCCUGACCACGGGUUGCCUCGGCGUUGCACUACAGUCGAGCGCGGCCCAUUUUUA
rnacentral:snRNA from 1 species